rnacentral:misc_RNA from 1 species
ACCACAUUACUUCCCUCACCUUUUUCUGAUGUCAACCGUUGAAUUUCAUUCUUUGGACUUCCAAUUUCAUUCUCUUCGAUUUCCAUUUCAGCACAGUAGGAGUCCUCAGAGUUAACCCCAUCACCCAUACACAUACUGGUCCCUUCUACAUAUAACAUCUCCUCUUCCAUUUUUACUAACUAUACUAGCUCACCAGCACUAAGAAGAAGAAAAAGCAAACGCUUAAUUCUCACUGACAACACAAGGCAACAUCCUGCAAAAGCUACUGAACUGACUAAUCUUCUAUUGAAGAAAUGUAACGAAAUCUUCCUACUUCAAAAUCCCAAUUCCACAGAAAGAAAUGCCUGUUUCCUAAAAAUAGAAAUUCCAAUUUCCUUUCCCUUAUCUCAGACAGUUCACAGC